CAGGUCCGUGGCGCACCACCACAGCAGAAUUACAAGGUGACGGCGCCGCUCGCUCACUUACACCACAGCCCUUACAGCCACCGUGUGUGUGUGUGGUGGGAGACAGCGCUCUAAGAGGUUAAAUACCGCCUUAACCCUUAAUACACCAGUGAGCUGAGCAGUACCCCAACCUUCAGAUACUGAACGCUGUACCGUCUGUAAGGUGAGGCAGUAUUGAUCACAAUGGUGGCUCCCUACCAGUCCGGAGACGCAGUACGUUCCUUGGUGCGAGUACCGGGCACUGGCACCAACAAGGAGGCCAUACCCAAGACAUGUAACCUUACUCACAUGUGUACCAUCAGCACCGUGUUCCACCAGCCGCCCGCCUACACAAGGUCGGUGCGGUACCUCCUUCAGUCGCCACCCUCACCCAAUGACCCCCAUCAGCGAGGCCACGACAACAAGAACAGCGAGGCCACGACAACAACAAGAACAAGGUGAGAGGAUAACGUUAAUUCUUACUGCUGAACGAGGGAGCCAUGACCACACCCCUACUGUCCUUCACCUGUACACAAGACCCCGUUGAUCAAAUUCACCAAGAUUACUUCACCAGCGACAGUGAAUUGUUCUUGGCCUGUAACUGCCACCAUGUCAUAGCCUGUUACCUGUAGCGGUUCUGUCGAAAUAAACUAGGCUGGAA